ACCCGCUGAACUUAAGCAUAUCAAUAAGCGGAGGAAAAGAAACCAACAGGGAUUGCCUCAGUAACGGCGAGUGAAGCGGCAACAGCCCAAAUUUGAAAUCUGGGUCUUUCAGGCUCCGAGUUGUAAUUUGUAGAGGGAUCUUCGGGUGUGGUCCGGCCUAAGUUUCAUGGAACUGAACAUCAUAGAGGGUGAGAAUCCCGUAUGCGGCCGGGUGCCUAUAUCCAUGUGAAGUCUCUUCGACGAGUCGAGUUGUUUGGGAAUGCAGCUCAAAAUGGGUGGUAAAUUUCAUCUAAAGCUAAAUACCGGCGAGAGACCGAUAGCGCACAAGUAGAGUGAUCGAAAGAUGAAAAGCACUUUGGAAAGAGAGUUAAAAAGUACGUGAAAUUGUUGAAAGGGAAGCGCUUGCAAUCAGACUUGCCUUCAGCUUAUCAUCCGGUGUUCUCACCGGUGCACUAGGUUGUUGUCAGGCCAGCAUCGGUUUUGGCGGCUGGAUAAAGGCCUUGGGAAUGUGGCCCCUCUCGGGGGGUGUUAUAGCCCAGGGUGCAAUGCAGCCAGCUGGGACCGAGGACCGCGCUUCGGCUAGGAUGCUGGCGUAAUGGUUGUAAGCGACCCGUCUUGAAACACGG
rnacentral:rRNA from 1 species